UUAUGGAAAAAAACAUAAAAAUUCUCAUUUUUGCGAAGAUAAGUAUAUCAAACGGAAAAUUUUGCUAUGUUUAUUAACGUAAUACUAAAAGUUGCAUUUUCGUUAGAGAUUACAUUUCUUUCGUAAACACAGCCGAUUGUGAAGGGACUAUUUUGUCACCCAGUUAUGACAAUGUUAUGCCAAAAGAUGACUUAAAGGGGCAUCUGGAGUAAAAAGACAGACUACUGAGAAACCAAGUAUGAAAUUGAGAGGGUUUCAGUAUUUCUAGCAUAUUAUAUUAUUCAUUUAUACUUGGGAUUGGUAUACAACUAUACAAACAACUGAUCAAGCACAAGCCACCAUUUGUUACUUUGUAACUCACUAAUUGCUUUAUCUUUUUUAUUUUUGCUUCAAUUUACUCAUUUGGCCCUAUGUUGCUUCUAGUCUCUUUUUUUUUUGCUUAAAGAUAAAAUGUAUGC